rnacentral:rRNA from 1 species
GACGAACGCUGGCGGCGUGCUUAACACAUGCAAGUCGAACGAAGUGGCGAACGGGAGAGUAAUACGUGGGUAACCUGCCCUCCUUUUUGGGAUAAGCCUUGGAAACGGGGUCUACUACCGGAUAAAGGGGGAUGGGCUCGUGGCCUAUCAGCUGGUUGGUGGGGUGAUGGCCUACCAAGGCGGUGACGGGUAGCCGGGCUGAGCGGGGGACCGGCAACAGUGGGACGGUGCGACGGCCAAGACUACGACGGGAGGGAGCAGUGGGGGAUAUGGCACAAUGGGCGAUAGCCUGAUGCAGCGACGGCGCGUGGGGGAUGCAGGUUUUCGGGUUGUAAACCUCUUGCGCUAGCGAACCGGUAGGUGGAGAAGAAGCGCCGGCUAACUACGUGCCAGCAGCCGCGGUAAUAC